rnacentral:lncRNA from 1 species
CGCCUCGGAGCCCCACGAGCCGGAGAAAAAGCCCUUCAAGCUCCUAGGUAUUUUAGAUGUUGAGAACACUCCAUGCGCUCGAGAAUCUAUACUGUAUGGCUCACUAGGAUCUAUUGUGACUGGACUUGGACAUUUCUUGGUGACCAGCAGAAUUAGAAGAUCCUGUGAUGUUGGAGUAGGAGGAUUUAUCCUGGUGACUUUAGGAUGCUGGUAUGUUUGCUGGAUAUUCCAGGAAAGUCAGGAGAAGUAACAACAUUCACUCAAUAAAUAUGGGGUUCCACUGUAGGUAUAAUUUUGCUAAGCAGAGGAUCCAGGAAAGAAUUGCCAGAGAAGGAAUAAAAAACAAGAUUUUAUAUGAAAGCACCCACCUUGAUCCUGAAAGAAAAACGAAGAGCAGUAACAGCAGCUGAGCGACUUCAUCAGCUUUAAACCCACAACUAUGCUUCCUUGUGAAUCAACCAUAAAUUAAACUCAAGUGUGUCAACUGU